AGUGAACGCUGGCGGUAUGCCUAACACAUGCAAGUCGAACGGCCGCACAGGAAGAUCUUGCUCUUGCCGGUGGCGAGGGGCGGGCGGGUGAGGAAUACAUCGCAAUCUACUUUUUCGGGGGGGAUUACGUAGGGAAACUGACGCUAAUACCGCAUAUGUCCUACGGGUGAAAGCAGUAGAGCUUCGGACCUUGCCUGACUGAAUGAGCCGAUGUCGGAUUAGCUAGUUGGCGAGGUAAGGGCCCACCAAGGCAACGAUCCGUAGCUGGUCUGAGAGGAUGAUCAGCCACACUGGAACUGAGACACGGUCCAGACUCCUACGGGAGGCAGCAGUAGGGAAUAUUGCGCAAUGGGCGAAAGCCUGAUCCAGCCACACCGCGUGAGUGAUGAAGGCCUUCGGAUUGUAAAGCUCUUUUAUUGGGAAAGAAAAACAGCGGGUUAAAAUAUCGCUGUCCUGACGGUACCCAAAGAGUAAGCAACGGCUAACUUCGUG
rnacentral:rRNA from 1 species